rnacentral:rRNA from 1 species
GACAGAGGAUGCAAGCGUUAUCCGGAAUGAUUGGGCGUAAAGCGUCUGUAGGUGGCUUUUUAAGUCCGCCGUCAAAUCCCAGGGCUCAACCCUGGACAGGCGGUGGAAACUACCAAGCUGGAGUACGGUAGGGGCAGGAGGGAAUUUCCGGUGGAGCGGUGAAAUGCGCAGAUAUCAGGAGGAACACCGGUGGCGAAGGCGGGUCUCUGGGCCGUAACUGACGCUGAGGAGCGAAAGCGUGGGGAGCGAACAGG